rnacentral:rRNA from 1 species
AUACGGAGGAUCCGAGCGUUAUCCGGAUUUAUUGGGUUUAAAGGGUGCGCAGGCGGGAGAUUAAGUCGGCGGUCAAAUUUUGCAGCUCAACUGUAAAAGUGCCUUCGAAACUGGUUUCCUUGAGUGUAGAUGAAGUAGGCGGAAUUUGUGGUGUAGCGGUGAAAUGCAUAGAUAUCACGAGGAACUCCGAUUGCGCAGGCAGCUUACUAAACUACUACUGACGCUCAGGCACGAAGGCGUGGGGAUCAAACAGGAUUAGAUACCCUGGUAGUCCACGCAGUAAACGAUGAUUACUAGCUGUUUGCGAUACAAUGUAAGCGGCUGAGCGAAAGCGUUAAGUAAUCCACCUGGGGAGUACGUUCGCAAGAAUGAAACUCAAAUGAAUUGACGGGG